rfam:Cephalotus follicularis DNA, scaffold: scaffold4170, isolate: St1.
AGGUGGGAUCAUAUUAGCACUAAUGCACUGGAUGCCAUAGGAACUCUGAAGUUAAGCGUGCUUGGGCGAGGAUGGUACUAAGAUGAGAUUUUUCAUAGGACUUCCACAGACACAGGCU